UGAGUAACGGCGAGCGAAAGGGAAGAGCCCAGCGCCGAAUCCCGUACUCGCAAGGGUGCUGGGAAAUGUGGCGUUUAGGAGUGAGCGUGCCGGUGGUUGACUCUGCAGCAAGUCCCCCUGACCGGGGCUGUUACCCAGAGUGGGUGCGAGGCCCAUAGCUGCUAGGUCUCCGCCGGAUGCGAUCUCCUUGGAGUCGGGUUGCUUGGGAGUGCAGCCCUAAUCGGGUGGUAAACUCCACCUAAGGCUAAAUACGGCCGUGAGACCGAUAGCAAACAAGUACCGUGAGGGAAAGUUGCAAAGAACUUUGAAGAGAGAGUUCAAGAGUACGUGAAACUGCUCAGAGGCAAACGGGUGGGCCCUCGAAAUCCUGUGGCGGGAGGAUUCAGUCGGGUGGCGCGGACGUUGUGGUCGGAAUAACACAAGAAUGGAUUCCCUGACGGGACCGUUCCGACUCGGCGGUUUCGUGUCGCCCGACGCAUUUGUUUCCCGUCCGAAGGACGCCGCAACCGGUUGGGUAACGGCCUUAAGGGCGAGUGAUGGCAGGUGGCCGGUGUGUAGCCUCGUGCUGUUCGCCGGUUGUUAGCCGACUCGUCGCACGGCUCGUGACCCGACCGUGGUGUCGCAAGGCCCCUCGUGGGCUCUUUCGCCUCCUCCGUUCACGGACGCGGGCUUUCUGCGGCAGGAGUUUCCGUUGCAUUCUGCUGACGCACAGACUCACUCUGUGGUCGCGCGGACGAUGGACUCUGUUGGUCGCGUCUGGUACCCGUUUCGGAG
rnacentral:rRNA from 1 species